GCCAUUGUUCUAUUGAUGGCUGUUAUGUCUGAAUAGAUUUUUCCUUUGGCCUCAGAGGAAAGGAAGAGUCCAAAUUGCCUUUGCAUCUAACAGCUCCUAAGGAGGUAAUGAAAAAGGAAACUACAUAAAUAAGGAAAUGAGCUGCAGCUUUUCUCUAUUAGGCACACGAGUUCGACUAAUUCACUCUUGGCAGGGAAUAUAAGACUAUUGCACCUGAGAUAAAGGGUCUGGGCUCUUUGUCUAAAACCUGAAGUAUCUCCAGACAAGCUCAGCUCCCUAACAGUGCUGAAGUACUUACUGCAGUGGAAAAAAAACAAGAGAAGAUACAAAGAACAUGCAGGGCAUUUAAAAGAGAUACCUUCCUAAAGUGAGGAAACCUUCCACGUAGGCAGAGAUCCCAGGAGAGUGGAAGAUCCCGGGCUGCUGGUGCUGGGGGGCAGUUUGCUGCUGACCCCCUUUGCUGCCGCACUGCCAUCUAAGCACAGCCAGGUUCCUCCAGGCUGAUACCAAGCAAGGGCCUGUGCCAGCCCUGUCUAGCAAUGGAGACAACUUUGCUACUCACCAGGGUUUUAAAGGACAUUCAGAAUUCCUCCAGUGGUGUUUCUUGAACCAUUUCAUUCUUCAUUAGAGCAAUAUUUUAUCCUAUCAGAACUGAUCAAAAUUCCCAUGCAUUGUAAUCUAGGAAUUCACUCACUGUUGAAAGGGUUUGCACAGGGAGAAAAUCAGCUUUGAUGUCAAUCACUUUUUAAACUAACCUCUCUUUCUGCAUCAAGCAUUGGUGUUUAGCUGCUGCUGUUCUGUCCUGAUGAUCUCCUUGGCAAGUUCUGUCUGUGUGUGUUUAGCUGCAACUUAUGAAUCAUGUCAAGUACAAGAGAGUCAUAGAGACAUCCAUGGAGAAUAGAUGAUAAUAAAGUAUGAGAAACUAGUGAAAGCAAUCAAUAGCUGUCAUCCCAAUAAUGAUGCCCUUCUACAGUCUCAGAUAACACAGGCAUUUGCCCAGUAUGACACUGUGGAUGCAAAAAGCUUGGAGACUUUCCAGUACAUAUAUUCUUUUAGCAGCCCACCGUUGGCCGUGCAAUAAGGUAAUUUUAUAAUUUACUCAAUCCCAUCUUGCACAACAGACAUAGAGAGGUACACAUGGAGCUACAUUUGGCAAAAAUCAAUCAGAAAACUAAUAUUUUGCUGAAAGGAUAAUCCCUGUAUUUAUCUUCCGUUCUUUUAUUUGUCAAUUUGCUGGCAUACAACUCCUGCCAGUAAAAACUACACUUUAGGUUAACAAUAAAAAGUGGUGCUCAAUCAAAGUCUUUCUUUUCAGAACCACCUCCUGAACACCUUUAAUUAAAAUAAAAAUAAUUAAUUUCUCUUUGCCAUUGACAGUAUUAACACUUUGAAUAGAAGUACUGUAUGCUUCCAUAAAGAAAUCAUCUUUUGACUGAUCUCCAAUUCCUUGAACACAGACUUUUAAAACCAGUAUCUUGAUGCUACCCUCAGAAAUGCUGAAUUCAGUAUCUAGGUAUGACAUAACCCUGUGCAAUGAAAUAAGGAGUCAUUUUUUUUUAAUGGACACAGUGUUUCUGAGAAAGGAAGGUAAUUUCCAAAUGUGUUUGUGGCACCUACAAGAUCAAAAUAUUUUCAAGAAUAACUGGGGUCCUUCUCAUAUUUCUGAAAUUCUGAAAUUGGCUCACCUAUUUGUGUGGUGAGGUUUUUUUAGUUGUUUUGGAUUACUUUCUCCUUUGAAAUCUAUAUAUAAACAAACAUGUUAAGUGUGAAUUUGUCCCUGUGGAAACAGAAUAAAGUGCUAUUGGUGACAGGGCAGACAGAAUUUUUUAUUUUUUUUUC